CGCCGCGGUUAUACGAGGGACCCAAGGUGAUAGAUGUCGGCGUAAAGCGUGGUUAGAACAUUUCAAUUAAAAUUAAAGCCGAAACCCUUCACAGCAGUUACAAGUUAUCGAAGCUAGAAAGCCCAAUCACGAAAGUAGCUUUAUAAUAUUUUGACCCCACGAAAACUGGGACC
rnacentral:rRNA from 1 species